GACGAAGGAUGCAAGCGUUAUCCGGAUUCAUUGGGUUUAAAGGGAGCGUAGGUGGUCUUGUAAGUCAGUGGUGAAAUCUGGCGGCUUAACUGCUAAAUUGCCAUUGAUACUGCAGGACUUGAGUACAGAUGCCGUUGGCGGAAUAUGACAUGUAGUGGUGAAAUACAUAGAGAUGUCAUAGAACACCGAUUGCGAAGGCAGCUGACGAAACUGUAACUGACACUGAGGCUCGAAAGUGUGGGGAUCAAACAGG
rnacentral:rRNA from 1 species